GCCGGGCGCGGUGGCGCGUGCCUGUAGUCCCAGCUACUCGGGAGGCUGAGGCUGGAGGAUCGCUUGAGUCCAGGAGUUCUGGGCUGUAGUGCGCUAUGCCGAUCGGGUGUCCGCACUAAGUUCGGCAUCAAUAUGGUGACCUCCCGGGAGCGGGGGACCACCAGGUUGCCUAAGGAGGGGUGAACCGGCCCAGGUCGGAAACGGAGCAGGUCAAAACUCCCGUGCUGAUCAGUAGUGGGAUCGCGCCUGUGAAUAGCCACUGCACUCCAGCCUGGGCAACAUAGCGAGACCCCGUCUCUU
rnacentral:SRP_RNA from 10 species